GGGCCGCACGCGCGCUACACUGACGGAGCCAGCGAGUACAACCUUGGCCGAGAGGUCUGGGUAAUCUUGUGAAACUCCGUCGUGCUGGGGAUAGAGCAUUGUAAUUAUUGCUCUUCAACGAGGAAUUCCUAGUAAGCGCAAGUCAUCAGCUUGCGUUGAUUACGUCCC
rnacentral:rRNA from 2 species